UACAGAGGUCCCAAGCGUUGUUCGGAUUCAUUGGGCGUAAAGGGUGCGUAGGCGGCGCGGGAAGUCGGGUGUGAAAUCUCGGAGCUUAACUCCGAAACUGCAUUCGAUACUGCCGUGCUUGAGGACUGGAGAGGAGACUGGAAUUUACGGUGUAGCGGUGAAAUGCGUAGAUAUCGUAAGGAAGACCAGUGGCGAAGGCGGCUCACUGGCCCGGUACUGACGCUGAGGUGCGAAAGCGUGGGGAGCAAACAGG
rnacentral:rRNA from 1 species